CACUAUGUUUCAGGAAACAGAAACCCUAGGGUUUCUAACUCCCCUUCAGCCCCAGCCGCCGCAACAGAGCCAGGCUUCCCCCUCGCGCGUGUUGUGCCAGCGCACGUGUAACGCCUCCGUGCCAAAUCCACGUGAACCUCCACGUCGACUGCCCCGUAUGCCCCUACUUGCAUACAAAAAACAAGCAAAAACGCAACAGAAAC
rnacentral:lncRNA from 1 species